rnacentral:lncRNA from 10 species
UAAAAGGCUAGCCGUGGUCAAAAUGAUAAAAUGACAGUGUUUGAUAUGGGCUCCUCCCAUUUUCCUCCAAGAUGGCCAGUACUUCUCACCUACAAAAUCAACUAGAACAUCCUCCAGAUUUUUUACUGCAUUUCCCUGUCAAAUAUACCAGUCCUAUCCGGAACACCAAGCAAUGCCUAUGCCCAGUGCUAAGACACUGUGAGGAAAACAGAAAUGAAUAAACACAUUCUCUGUUUCAAAGAGUCUUCACACUAGUGGAAUGGAGAAUGAAAAUAAAAAUCAUUGCAGGUGCGGGCAGGGUUUUGUAGCAAGAUGAAAGAGGCCCCACGUAUCUGGAAUGGGCCCUCCCAGGUGCACUUUCUGAAGGGAACACUUUCACUCAAAUACGUGAUUCUUGAGGUAGAAACUUGGAGUCCUAGGGAGGAAAGGCAAGGGGCAUCCUGCCCAGCUCUUCACUUCGUAUCUCAUUGGUGAAGCCUCACAGGGCUCUAUUAAUAAUUGGGAACUAUCCCUAGCCUUUCCAGGAUUACCCUCCAGACCCCAGCUUGUCACAUGGUCCCUGUACCCAUGUGUUUGUAGACUUCCAUUAGGAAGACUUUACUAAAUAUUAAAAAACAGAACAGGCUGGGCGCGGUGGCUCACGCCUGUAAUCCCAGCACUUUGGGAGGCUGAGGUGGGUGGAUCACCUGAGGUCAGGAGUUCAAGACCAGCCUGGCCAACAUGGUGAAACUCCGUCUUGACUAAAAACACAAAAAUUAUCCGGGAGCAGUGGCAGGUGCCUAUAAUCCCAGCUACUUGGGAGGCUGAGGCAGGACAAUCGCUUGAGCCUGGGAGGCAGAGGUUGCAGUGAGCCAAGAUCGUACCAUUGCACUCCAGCUUGGGUGACAGCAGGAGACUCUGUCAUGGCAAAUAGGAGGCUCCUGGAGCUCGGAUAGUAAACCAGACCUGCGAUGAUGUCGUCAAUGAGUGGUCUUCAUAGAAGAGAGAAGAAAAGGCCCUUCUCCACCCCUUCAGCUCCGGCUUUAAGGUCCAUAAAUACCCCUGAGGAAGGAUCCACUGUGUUGCACUCAGUCCUCUCUUGCUGAGGUGCUCCGCUGCAGCUGCACUCUUCGACAGCGUUCUUUCUACCUAAUAAACCUUUCCUUUUCCAGUCCUAUACGGUCAGUGGUAAAUUCUUCUUACCAACCCACCAGUCAACCACCUUUUGAUGUUGGAGCUCUGACACCUUGCCUGGCUCUGGGUGAUUGCUUUCACUCAAUUCAUCUGUAGACCGAUGACUUCAUCUCUGGUACAGACCAUUCUGACCUGCAGAACCAUAGAUUCCAUUUCUUCUUAGUGGACAGUUCUGUCUGAAUGACCACAGAGAACUCAAUCUCAACAUGCCCCAAUUGAAUUUAGCUGCCUUCACUAUGCUCUGCUCUCUGCCUUUCCCAUCUGCCCACUCUCCCCUAAAUUUCCAGUGUCAUAAAUUUAAUGACAUCAUAACUGAGCUGGGAGUCAUGCUCAAGUGCUUUCCCUCUUCACAUCCGAGUAUCCAUCUAGGCUUAUUGUUCUGCCUGCAUUCUCUCUCUCAAAGUCUUCUCCUCUGGAUAUUCCUUCAAUACAACUCUCAUCAAGUUUAAUCUGCAUUAUUCUAGUUCAUCUCCUCACUAGUCCCCCCAGCUUUGUCCCUGUCUCAUUCCUGAGGGAUACUGCUGAAUCAUGUUACUUCCAGCCAAAGGCC